rnacentral:rRNA from 1 species
UCCCAGACUCCUACGGGAGGCAGCAGUAGGGAAUCUUUCACAAUGGGCGAAAGCCUGAUGGAGCGACGCCGCGUGCGGGACGAAGGCCUUCGGGUCGUAAACCGCUUUCAGCAGGGACGAGGCCCUCACGGUGACGGUACCUGCAGAAGAAGCCCCGGCUAACUACGUGCCAGCAGCCGCGGUAAUACGUAGGGGGCGAGCGUUAUCCGGAUUCAUUGGGCGUAAAGCGCGCGUAGGCGGCCUGUUAGGUCGGGGGUCAAAUACCGGGGCUCAACUCCGGUCCGCCCCCGAUACCGGCAGGCUUGAGUCUGGUAGGGGAAGGCGGAAUUCCCAGUGUAGCGGUGGAAUGCGCAGAUAUUAGGAGGAACACCAGUGGCGAAGGCGACUUUCUGGACUGUACCUGACGCUGAGGCGCGAAAGCGUGGGUAGCGAACGGGAUUAGAUACCCGAGUAUG